GAUGAACGCUGACAGAAUGCUUAACACAUGCAAGUCGAUGGGGAAGUGGUGCUUGCACCAUGGUAACCAUGGCGGACGGGUGAGUAACGCGUAAGGAACUUGCCUGCGGGACUGGGAUAACAGCAGGAAACUGCUGAUAAUACCGGAUAAGGUCAUUAAGCUGCAUAGCUUAGUGAUGAAAGGAGACGCCUGCGGAGAGCCUUGCGUCCUAUUAGCUAGUUGGAGGGGUAACGGCCCACCAAGGCGAAGAUAGGUAGCCGGCCUGAGAGGGUGGACGGCCACAAGGGGACUGAGAUACGGCCCUUACUCCUACGGGAGGCAGCAGUGGGGAAUAGUGGACAAUGGGGGCAACCCUGAUCCAGCAAUUCUGUGUGCACGAAGACGGUUUUCGGAGUGUAAAGUGCUUUCAGCAGGGAAGAAGGAAGUGACGGUACCUGCAGAAGAAGCGACGGCUAAAUACGUG
rnacentral:rRNA from 1 species